UACGUAGGGUGCAAGCGUUGUUCGGAAUUACUGGGCGUAAAGCGCGCGUAGGCGGGUCCGUAAGUCGAUUGUGAAAGCCCAGGGCUUAACCCUGGAAUUGCAGUCGAUACUGUGGAUCUUGAAUGUCUGAGAGGAUGGCGGAAUUCCCGGUGUAGAAGUGAAAUUCGUAGAUAUCGGGAAGAACACCUGAGGCGAAGGCGGCUAUCUGGCGGUACAUUGACGCUGAGGCGCGAAAGCGUGGGGAGCAAACAGG
rnacentral:rRNA from 1 species